CAUCUACAUAUAUGGGAACGUAUUUUAGAUCGAAAAAGUAGAUAAUCUGUGGCCAUAUGUGAACCUAGUAUAACAUUUAAAAUAUUAUAGGGCGAACGGCACAAUUUGAUCUAGAAGAAAGAAUAUUUUCCAGAAAAAAUAAACUUGCUCCAAAUUUCAUCGCUGUUUGCAGGUUUACGCUGGUUACUAAUUCCACUAUUGGACAUCCAUCGUUUGGGACUAUGUUGCGGGAAGAUCGUCGAUAAAUCAAUCGGAAGUAAAAAAAAAAAUCAUACCAAAAUAAAAGGAGCGAAAAGAUUACUAGCCAUUUUAAACUCUAUUAUCAAGAUUGAUUAAUUGCCAGAAAUGGCCGAUUUGUAAAACAGCAAAAGAAUCCUUGUUUAUUUAGUCCUUAAGUUAGUUGCUAUAAAACGCAACUCACAACGGUAGAAUAGAAUGAGGAGAAAAAAGAAAGACGGCGAUCGACUUCCGAAAUCGGUUAGAGUACGGCACACAUGUUUUACAUUUUUUAGUGGGAUUUAUCUUUUAGCUGAUCUUCUAAAACAUUUGACAACCCCUAUUUAGAAUAUGUUGAAAAUUAAUGAAAACAAAUAUUACAAAGCAUUAUAUUAAAUAUACUUUUAUGACCCUUUCAA